GUCACACCCUGUUCUUGAGUUGGCCUCACACAGAUCACACACAGACAUGAGUGUGCCCACUCAGCUCCUGGGGUUGCUGCUGCUGUGGCUUACAGAUGCCAGGUGUGACAUCCAGAUGACCCAGGCUCCAGCCUCCCUGUCUGCAUCUGUGGGAGAAACUGUUUCCAUCUCAUGUCGAGCAAGUGAAAACAUUAACAGCUAUUUAGCAUGGUAUCAGCAGAAACCAGGGAAAUCUCCUCAGCUCCUGAUCUAUGCUGCAACUAGCUUGGAAGUUGGUGUGCCAUCGAGGUUCAGUGGCAGUGGAGCUGGCACACAGUAUUCUCUCAAGAUCAACAGCCUGCAGGCUGAAGAUGUUGCAACUUAUUACUGUCUACAGCAUCGUAAAACCCCUCCCACAGUGAUUUAAGCCAUGACAUAAACCACCCAGGGAAGCAGAAGUGAGAUCACAGGCUGCCCAACUGUCCUUAGGAUGUCUCCAGCUGUUCAUCUGCCGAAAGUGUUUCUCUUUGCCAGGGCUUAAAGGUUAAUGUGAUAUUUUUAUAUAGUGAUCAGAGAAACGUUUAUAUGUCCCUCAGGCCUAGUAUCAAAACAAGGGAAUGGUUUACAUGACUCAUUAAAAGGGAAAAAAAACAAUAAAA